rnacentral:rRNA from 1 species
CCCGGGCCUUGUACACACCGCCCGUCACACCACGAAAGUCGGCAACACCCGAAGCCAGUGGCCCAACCGUAAGGAGGGAGCUGUCGAAGGUGGGGUCAGUGAUUGGGGUG